GCUGCUGCAUCUGGAAUAAAAAGAAAUGUGGAGAUUAUGGUAUCAGAGAACAAAAAUUUGUCAGUGGUGAGUGGCAGCAAGGGGGUGACACCUCUUCACAUGGCUGCAUUGUUAGGUCAUAGAGAGAUGGUGUGGUAUCUUUAUACUGUUACUGAUCAUUGUUGUCUUAGUAGAGAUGAUUAUGUUGGACUUUCUAUUGCAACUAUCAAUUAUGAUCUGUUUGAUGUUACCCUGGAUAUACUUCAUAACUAGCCUGAACUGGCAAUUGAACGCGAUCCAAAUGGGGAGCUAGGACUCCAUAUCUUAGCAAGAAAGCCUUUGGCAUUUUCUGGCAAACACGGGCUUGGAGUCUUGCAGAAAUAGAUAUACAUAAGUAUCUCUGUUCAUCCAC